UACGUAGGGUGCAAGCGUUGUCCGGAAUUAUUGGGCGUAAAGAGCUCGUAGGCGGUCUGUCGCGUCUGCUGUGAAAAUCCAGGGCUCAACCCUGGACCUGCAGUGGGUACGGGCAGACUAGAGUGAUGUAGGGGAGACUGGAAUUCCUGGUGUAGCGGUGAAAUGCGCAGAUAUCAGGAGGAACACCGAUGGCGAAGGCAGGUCUCUGGGCAUUAACUGACGCUGAGGAGCGAAAGCAUGGGGAGCGAACAGG
rnacentral:rRNA from 1 species